UGAGGAAUAUUGCUCAAUGGGCGAAAGCCUGAAGCAGCAACGCCGCGUGCGCGAUGAAGGCCUUCGGGUCGUAAAGCGCUUUUGAGAGGGACGAGAUAGGACGGUACCUCUCGAAUAAGUCACGGCUAACUACGUGCCAGCAGCCGCGGUAAAACGUAGGUGGCAAGCGUUAUCCGGAUUCACUGGGCGUAAAGCGCGUGCAGGUGGCUUCGUAAGUUGGACGUUAAAUCUCCCGGCCUAACCGGGAGGAGUCGUUCAAUACUGCGGGGCUGGAGGGCAGAAGAGGGGGGUGGAAUAGCUGGUGUAGUGGUGAAAUGCGUAGAUAUCAGCAGGAACACCUGUGGCGAAAGCGGCCCCCUGGUCUGCUCCUGACACUCAGACGCGAAAGCUAGGGGAGUGAACGGGAUUAGAAACCCCGGUAAUCCUAGCCGUAAACGAUGGAUGCUAGGUGUGGGUGGUAUUGACCCCAUCCGUGCCGAAGCCAACGCGUUAAGCAUCCCGCCUGGGGACUACGACCGCAAGGUUA
rnacentral:rRNA from 1 species